UACGACUACAUAUCAGGCAUAUCAAUAAGCGGAGGAAAAGAAACUAACAAGGAUUCCCUUAGUAACGGCGAGUGAAGCGGGAAGAGCUCAAAUUUGAAAUCUUCAAGGUUCUACCUUGACGAAUUGUAGUUUAAAGAAGUGUUUUCUGUUAGAUGAGUAGCAAAAGUUCCUUGGAAUGGGACAUCAUAGAGGGUGAGAAUCCCGUAUUUGGUUAUUCAUUCUAGCUUUGUGAUACACUUUCAAAGAGUCGGAUUGUUUGGGAAUGCAGUCCAAAAUGGGUGGUAAAUUUCAUCUAAAGCUAAAUAUUGGCGAGAGACCGAUAGCGAACAAGUACCGUGAGGGAAAGAUGAAAAGAACUUUGAAAAGAGAGUUAAACAGUACGUGAAAUUGUCAAAAGGGAAGCGUUUGACACCAGUGUUGUUUUUCCGAAAAUCAAUUACGAAUGGCUUGAUUUUGUGUUGUAUUGACCUUAUCAGCUUUCUUCACUUUUUUCGAGUCUUUCUUAAUGCACUUUUCGGUUAACAAGUCAACAUCAAUUUCUUUUGUUGUAAAAGAGUAUUCGGAAGGUGGCUUUCUUUUCGGAGAAGGUGUUUAUAGCCCUAUACUUCUACAAUCGGAGAGAUUGAGGUCUGCAGCGUAGAUCCUUCGGGGUUAGAUACACUUGUGCUAAGUUGUAGCUUUUCAUAGACAACUUGUUGACUAUGUUUAGUCAUGCGGCUUACUCGCUUGUGCUAUUUUACCUACGCUUAGGAUGUUGAGUAGCGACAUACGCAC
rnacentral:rRNA from 1 species